rnacentral:rRNA from 1 species
GUGUCAGCCGCCGCGGUAAUACGUAGAUGGCAAGCGUUAUCCGGAAUGACUGGGCGUAAAGGGUGCGUAGGCGGUUGUUUAAGUCAGAUGUGAAAAUCCCGGGCUCAACCUGGGAACUGCAUUUGAAACUGGACGACUUGAGUGCAGGAGAGGGAAGUGGAAGUCCUAGUGUAGCGGUGAAAUGCGUAGAUAUUAGGAGGAACACCAGUGGCGAAGGCGACUUUCUGGACUGUAAC